rnacentral:rRNA from 1 species
AGUGCUUGCACUAAAUGAAACUAGAUACAAGCGAGCGGCGGACGGGUGAGUAACACGUGGGUAACCUGCCCAAGAGACUGGGAUAACACCUGGAAACAGAUGCUAAUACCGGAUAACAACACUAGACGCAUGUCUAGAGUUUGAAAGAUGGUUCUGCUAUCACUCUUGGAUGGACCUGCGGUGCAUUAGCUAGUUGGUAAGGUAACGGCUUACCAAGGCAAUGAUGCAUAGCCGAGUUGAGAGACUGAUCGGCCACAUUGGGACUGAGACACGGCCCAAACUCCUACGGGAGGCAGCAGUAGGGAAUCUUCCACAAUGGACGAAAGUCUGAUGGAGCAACGCCGCGUGAGUGAAGAAGGGUUUCGGCUCGUAAAGCUCUGUUGGUAGUGAAGAAAGAUAGAGGUAGUAACUGGCCUUUAUUUGACGGUAAUUACUUAGAAAGUCACGGCUAACUACGUGCCAGCAGCCGCGGUAAUACGUAGGUGGCAAGCGUUGUCCGGAUUUAUUGGGCGUAAAGCGAGUGCAGGCGGUUCAAUAAGUCUGAUGUGAAAGCCUUCGGCUCAACCGGAGAAUUGCAUCAGAAACUGUUGAACUUGAGUGCAGAAGAGGAGAGUGGAACUCCAUGUGUAGCGGUGGAAUGCGUAGAUAUAUGGAAGAACACCAGUGGCGAAGGCGGCUCUCUGGUCUGCAACUGACGCUGAGGCUCGAAAGCAUGGGUAG